GCAUUAGUGGGGUAGUGGUAACCUGGGUCGUUGCCAUCAGGUACCGCAAUGCGGCUAGUUUCGACCCGCCGGGAGUUCGAUUCUCUCCUAAUGCA